ACCAGCAAAUUUCUCAGCGCCGGCCUCCCGGCAGGCAGACAGGCGGCUGCAUCACUGCGUAACCGAUGGCUUCCUCCCCGUGGCCGCACACCGCCGGUACCGCCCCCGCCCCGCCGCCAGAAGCAGCAGCGGCAGCUGCUGCUGAGACGGCCGCCGCCACCCCCGCCCCGACGUCGGAGCAGCACCUAGUCAAGGAGGGAGGAAGCGCUGCCGCCGCGGCUGUCCCGCAGCAGCCGCAGGAGGAGGAGGCCAAGCCCCCCUUGGCGCGGGAUGAUGACUCAGAAGCAGUAAUCCAAGAGCACGAACAGAAGAUCAACAGAUAUCAAGCAAUACUUGCAGCCCGUUUGAAAGCCAAAUUCUUCUCUAAAAAGGCUUUUGAUGGAGGAAUGUUCUAUGUACAUAAGCAAAAUGAACGAAAGUUAGGGUGACACUCUUCAUGUUGUUUUUGAUGGAGUCCAUGACUCAGUUCUCUAACAUAUUAGUUGCAAUAUGCAGAAGGUAUCAACAACAUGAAAAAUCAUGCCUCCAUGGAUCCCAAAUAUUGAACUUACUAUCGAUCCAGUAGCGACAGAUACCAUUUUACCAUUGAUAUCCUUAUGUAUAUAUUGCUCCUGAAGCUUCUUAUAGUUUAUUUAUGUGCUUAGCUUGUCACUCCUUAUGGAAAAUGAUCCAUUGUUACAUCAAACGUGGCCAUGCAAACUAUUUGUUAGUCAGCACUGAGUAGACAUGAUAUUGAUAUAUGGCUAUCUUUUCUGUAUGAACCUUUUGUGUUAAUAAUUCAUUUGAUCAACAUCUUGAAGCACUACAAAUCAAUGUUUAUGGGAGCACAGUAUUGGAAACUAUUAACAAUAAGAAUGUACUUUAUGUUUACAAUUAUCUAAUGAGCUGCCAUUUCUUUUCUGAAUUUCAAUUUACUUUACUGUCUUCCACUAGCCAACUCCAAGAGAAAUGUGAUUCUCUGAGGAGAAAAGGAAAGGAUGGGAAAAGGCAACUUUACUGAAUGGACAUUGCUAGCAUGAUCUUUCUGCUCAAUUUGCAGAUGGGCUUUUGCAUGACAAUGCUGGUGCAAACAUUCUAGAAGCAUCUGCAAAUAUUAGAUGUAUAUAGCCUGUAUUCUACAUGUGACGUAUACUCAUAUGUAUUCUUGCACUCCAAACCUUCUGGUCUAUAUAUAUGAAAGGUCAACCCGGGUGCGGUGUUUCCCAUCUCUCUACACAAAAUAACUGAAAACUCUGUAUUUCGAAUGCAGUGUAUUGUUUAAUGUCUCUGCUUGUAAGGUUCAUCACUAUUUCCUUGAUUGAUAGUCUCAUUGUUCCCCAUGUGUUUUCUAGUUGGAGACUGUUCCCUGUGGCUUAACAAAAUUUCAUUUUGAUUGAUUAUAAGUUUGAAUCAGCCCUAGCUCUCUUUUCUUAGGCCUUUUAUAAAUGUUCUAUUCUUUAUCAUGUUAAUAGGGAACAUCUUUGAAGCAGACACCAUUGUUGAAGGUGAAACAAUUCAGUCAAGCAGGUGGCCAUGUACAAGAUCAUUUGCAAACCCAGAGUUUUUUUCUCGGGACAAGAACAGCCAUGAGAAGGGAAAUUCUCCAUCUUCAGCAGCAGAUUCCUCUGCCAAGAACAACUCUCCACCUUUAGCAGGGGAUGUCUCACCAAAAAAUAAUGCUAGUGCUCUGGCCCCAGAAAACAAUCUAAUGCCUGGAAAGAGGCAGCAAUCCAAGAAGACUUGACUUGAUGCAUUAACGGUAGGCAAAUCGGGUUGUCUGCUGUUCCUCUGUAGUCCGGGGGUAUGCAACCUGAAGUAUGUAAUCUAUCAUGAAAGAAAAUUGACUCCAAAAAUGAUUGUAACCUGCUCUAAAUUCAGUUUGUUGAAUGUGUUCCAGAAGCAUCUGUAGCAAGGAAUACUGUUGUAUUCUUGAUAUUCAAAUUGAUGUACUAUAGACUAUCCCUAGUGAACCGUUAAUUUUUUGCUCAAAUCUGAACCUCAAAUUUUAUUUAA